GCAUGUCAAAGACCAUCGUCCUAGGAAAAUCCAGUAGGCUCUCUAACGCUAGAUAGUUUGGUUGAGGAUAGGCUUUUGGAAUGUAUUGAAGAAGUCCAGCUGCAUGGCUAUCAGUUCUUCCCCUGACAAGGCUGUUGUACUGUUUCGUUUUAAAUAUUGCAGUAUCUUUUAUUUUGCUUAUAAAAAUUAUUCAUAUGUAAUAUCA
rnacentral:misc_RNA from 1 species